NNGGAAGCGUGCCCGACCUAGGGGUUACUUUGAUAGAGUAAAAUAAAGGGGUUAAAAUCCCCUCACUUCCU
rnacentral:tRNA from 1 species